CCUCGCGUGGUUUCGCACUUUCUCACUUUAAUACCCUGUGAUUUAAAGUGUAUUAAUUUGGUGCCCUGUGGUUUCAUUUUUAUCUUUUCGGCAGUUUUUUCGUUAAUAUUUCGCUAAAUUAUAUACCAAAAACUUCAGAUACCUAUCUAGAUUUAUCGAAUACAGUACCCUUUAAUUUUAACUUUGUCGCUGAUUUAAGGAAAAAAAAAUAGUGAAAUUGAUAAUAAAAAGAGAAAAAUGGAACCACAUGGCACUAAAUUGAUUCACUUUAAACCACAGGGUACUAAAGUGAGAAAAUAUGAAACCGCAGGGGUUUUUUCUGAAGUUUUCCCUAAAAGAAUAUUGGAGAAAUAGUAGAACUAUUGUAGAUUUCUAAAUGAUACGAGUACCAGAUUAUCAUGAGUUAGGAGAUAUUUUUAUUUUCGUGCGUGAUAGAACUUAUUAGUAGU
rnacentral:lncRNA from 1 species